GCAUCGCAGAAUUUGAAUAAGUGCAAAUUUCAAAGGAUGGCUGUGUUUUGGUUCUCCUAUUGUUUCAGAAAGUGUGAAUUUAACAGAUUCAGCUUUACAUGCGACCUGAAUCAAAAUUCUCGCCCAUCCCUAGCUCACACAGCAAGGGGGGCCAGAGCGGUGUCAUCGUGCAUCAUGGAGACUACAGGCCAGAGUGUCUCUUUAGACCUCACCAUGCCUUGCUGCACUCGUGCCACUGUCAACAGUACCAUAGAGAAGCUGCUGCUUUGCAGUUACAAAUAGGAAUGGAGGAGUAAUUGAUUCAGUUUGCAUUUAAAGCCAAAUCUAUCCAAUUCACAUAAUAUGAGGUGUAGUCAUACACGAUCUCGGGGGGGGGGGCUUAAACAUUUUACUAUUUUGGAAAGCCAGCUCCCAGCAGGGUCCCGAUGUCCUAUGAGCCAAUCAGCAUGAAGGGGGAGUGUGUUGGCCACUGAGAAGAAUCCCAGUGUGUGUCAAUUGCAAGCAACUUUCUUCAAAAAGCCAAGACAAGUUGUGGAGAGUGAGACUUCUGCAACUGCAGAAGGAGAGACAGGGAGUCCCGAUGAUAGCAUCCCAUCUAUAUCGUCAAGCAGUUUGGUAGCAGCAGGAGAUAAACAUAUAGACACUGAAUCCAGCAACUCAAGAAAUAUCUCUGACAGUGAGAAAUGACAGUCAAAUGGUGACAGUGGUAGAGAAGCAGAAAGCAGUGUUCAAGCCUGGCCAGAUUAAUUUCAGAAGGUUGUAUAGUUUUAGAAGGGCGCGUGGCUGUGACAGUCGUGAAGGGACCCUGCACUUCUGGAUUUGCCACUACACUACUGGAAUGGAAAUACACCAUCCUUCAAAGUUGCCACUUCUCUGAAUUUUGUAGUGUGGUUCUCCAACCAAAGAACGUUUACAAGAAUGCAUACAUUAGGAAACAGUGCCCAUGAAAAGGAAUGUAUAAGAAAUGCAUUAUAUAAGGUAAAACUGAUUGCAAAAGAUAGGUACAUUAGUCAACACUGCAUACAAAAAUGUUUUCAGGACGAGAAAUUUGCUACAAAUUGCUACAGAAAUGUGGAGAACUGAAGACUGGUCAAAUGAGAGAGAGAGAAGCGAAACUGACAGACCCUUCCAUCCCUAGAGCCUGUGUGGAGCUAGAAACACAGAGAGCGCCUGGCCUGGGUAUGGAGGGGAGGGGAAGCAGAAAGCAGCGCAAGGGAAAGGCGGAGAGAGAAACCAGCUAAUGAAACAACAGCAAAGUUGGCUCCGUUUCCCCUCUCUAAUGCAUUCCUCUCAUUAAAAUAAUUGCAUUUAAUACUGUGCACAUCCGGUGGAGUUUCUAGCCCAGGAGAAGAAAUAUCUUGUUUUGAUUUAACGAGGAUUUUUUUUUUUGCCAAAUCAGAUAGCCUUUUCUGCCAAAGAGAAACAUUUAUGCUCCUUUUCCCCCAAAUGUCUUUUUUUUUUUGCUCUCUUCUUUGUCGUUUCUACUGGCCUCUGCCCUGUGUCAGAUUCAACCUUCUCCUCCCACUUCCCCACAUCUCUCUCAUUCCAGAGCAGUGUUUGGGUGCCGGCCAGAACUUCAGUGCUAUAUAAAAGGCUUGUUUUUCUUUUCUUUUUUUUUUAAAAAAAAAGGAAAGGAAAAAGAAAACAAACGAGGGCCAACCAAGCCAGAGGUGGAGAGCCAAGGAAAGGGAGCACAAGGUAGGCUGCAGAUGCCAAAGGCAGAGAAGCGCACACCACAUUCACAUGAACCAUCACACCAUGAGGUGCGGUGGUUUCCUAGAGUUCUGUCCACCCAGUGAGGAUGGGGAGAAUUGUGCACAGCCCUACCGAUUGGUAAGUCAGAGAACGAUUCCAUUUUGGGGUGGCCAUGUGUCCAUCUUUACAGAGAAUAGUCCUCCCUUUCAGCAACGGGAAGCCUUCAGCCCACCAGGCCUCUGUCAUGACCCUGGAGUCAGAUUCCUCAUCGUAUGUAUGUAUGUAUGUAUGUAUGUAUGUAUGUAUGUAUGUAUGUAUGUAUGUAUGUAUGUAUUUAUUUAUUUAUUUAUUUAUAUCCCGCCCUUCCUCCCAGCAGGAGCCCAGGGUGGCAAACAAAAGCACUAAAAACAUUUUAAAACAUCAUAAAAACAGACCUUAAAAUACAUUAAAACAAAACAACUUUAAAAACAUUUUUUUAAAAAGCUUUAAAACCAUCGUAAAUAAAAAGGGUUAAAAAUAUUGUUUGGGGGGGAAAGGUUUUAAGAAAACAUAUUAAAAAGCAAUUCCAACACAGACACAGACUGGGAUAGGUCUCAACUGAAAAGGCUUGUUGAAAGAGGAAAGUCUUCGAUAGGCGCCGAAAAGAUAACAGAUAACAUCUUCAGGGGAUGAAGGGGAAGACUCUGAAGCAGACAGUGAUGGCUGGUGGCUCCAUGUCACUGGGGCACUAGAAUCCGCUCUGGGUUUUAGCCCGAACUUUCAAGGCACUGUCCAAGGUGCAGAAGCACCCAGAGCAGAUUCCACUGCCCCACUGCCAUGGAGCGACCAGCUGCCACUGGAAGCAGAAGGGGAAAGGCAUGCAGGUCUGGCCCUGUAAGCGCUCUCAGAUGAAUCUACUGGGGUGAUACUCCCCCACCCAGCCUGAGAAUGUAGCACUGCCAUCCUCUGACUCCAAGGACUCCACUGCAAAAGACCAGGAGCUCCCCUGCUCCAAUGCAUCACAGUAGGAGGUUACUGGACAAGGGUGGCCCUUUAAGCAGAGCAACCACUUACAGCACAGGCUGUGCCUGCUGCUACUACUAUAUAAGGGCUCAGUUUCAACUUGUUCUUUGCUGGAGUAGCUUCAGAGCUCUGUGUUCACUAGAGCCCAGCCUGAACCUGGUCCUACCAUGCUUUUCAUCUGGUUGGGCCCUGUCUUGCCAGACCACAGAGCACAACAACCUCCCCAUUUGGCCCAUCAGGCCAUUUCAGCUGAGCCACACCUACCUGCCCAAUGUUUAAUGUCACAAACGUGGGGUUUGCAGACCCUUCACCAGGGCCUGCAAAGCCCUGUGCCUUUGCCAGCACAGCUUGAUUUAAAACGGUGUGGAAAAUGUGUCCCUUGAUGUCACGUUGGCCCACAGGGUGUGUGGAGGAGACAAGGAUUCAGCCCACCAGCUGGAUCCUGUUUGGAGAUAUCUUCUGUUCCAGGGGUUGACCAGCCCAAAUCCAGUUUAAAAAUAAAGCAUCAUAAGGGGGGGCUUUGUCACACUCCAGGGGGUGCCCUCGGGUGCUAAGUUUCCAGCAACAUCAGCCUCUCGCCAGAGUACUUACAAGCACAGCCUAGGUUUCUGGUUGCAUGCAAUCCAAACCAAUCAAGGGCAAACACAAGGGCAAAUGAGAAGCAAAGGUCAAGAAUCAGUCCAAGGUGAGGAUGGGUGAGAAUUCCAAUUCAGUUCGCAUUCCAAACAGAAUUUAUCCAUUUUGCAAUUUCCAAAGCAAUAUGAGAACUGAAACAAGGCCAUCCUUCGAAAUUUGCAUUUAUUAGAAGUUUGGGAUGCAGUUUGCCAACUAAACAAUAUUUAUAAAAAUGCAUAUAUUUGGGGAAAGUGUGCAUAAAAAUGAACACAUGAGUGAAAAUAACAGGCAAGAAGGCACGAUGUGAUGAGAAAUGGCUUGCAAAAAUGUGUGCUUUUGUCAGAACUGCCUACAAAAAUGUGUAUCUGGAGAAAUUUGCACUAAAAUGGUGGAGAAUUUUCAUAAGGAUUUAAAAAAAAAAACAGGCUGAUUGCUGCAGAAAUGUAGAGACCUGAAAUUAACAUAGCAAACUGAGAAAUUGAGAGAACCGAAAUUGACAGAUCUUUCUAGGCCUGGUCCAAGGUCAAGAUCACAGGGUAUUCUACAUGGUAAACAUGGCAAGGAGAAAUAACUAGAGCCAGGAGCAAGGCUUCAGGAAACAAAACCCCCGAGACCUUUGAUGUUUCCAGCAAGAAGACAGCUCAAGAAGGAGACUUUAUGUACUCUGGCUUCCUAAACCACACCCUAACCACAGCUGCUGGUAUUGAAGAAGUACCUUGGACAGCUCCUUGAAAGUUUGGACGAAAACCCAGAGUGGAUUCCCUGCCCUGUUCACAUCGGAGCCACCAGCCUCCACUGCCUCUGAGGGUCUGGCAUGACAGGCCUGAACCUGCCCAUCAACAGUUAGCACUGGUUCAGCAGGCUGACACCUGGUCAGUCUUCCCGACUAUGAGAUCCCCAUGAACCUUGUCGCCUUGGCACAGAAUUCAGCACAAGCCAGUAUCAAAAAGAAAACGUGCCCCUCGAGAAGCACAUCCGGAUUGAUAUUUCCUCAGCGAGCAGGAUAAAAAACAGCGUUGUCCACUGUUGUCACAAUGCGAGCGGGAGGAAAGCCUCAAUGUGAAGCUCGAUGGAUGAUCAGUUUGCAUAAAUAAGAGAGAUAAAAGGGCCGAAUUCGUGAAUCGCUCGAUUACAAAGGAGGAGAAUCACAAAGGUGAAGCGGAGAGAGCAGAGUCUUUAAUGCGACCUCCUUCCCCCCCAGCCGCCAGUGAAAAGGGGCUCGAGGCCUAUGAGGUUGGAGAAUAAGCCUUUGGCGGUGCUGAUGAUUCCCGCUCUUCUCUAUUGUGGAUGCAGAAGAGGAGGAUGGAGGAGGGAACUGGACGGGACAGCAGUGCUGUGAAGGGCUUAUCUGAAAUGAAAUAGCAGCUGGGGAAUUCCGGAGGGCUGCCACGUCGUCGAGCGGGCAGGCAGAGCGAAUGGCAAAACAUUGCUCUCAGGCGUCCCUGAGGGCCCCGGCCCUUGAACUCGGCAAACUUUGGUUGUGAAGUAAUCCUUCCCAGCCAUGCACUGAACAAGAAAAUUGGGACGAGGCCUCCCGUACAAUACAAGACAGAAUGGCAGGUGUUUCAAGGGCAUAGGUUAAUACACCCACCGACGUUUGCUAGAGGAAAAAUAGGGUACAGCGGAUUUGGAGGUGGUUGGUUGGCUUAGUGUUGUCGAGUCAACGAAGUCAGCCUUUAGGCGAGACCUGGAUCUUUUCCAUCAGGCUUUCCCAAACGUCUGGGUUCCUUGACCCUUUUGAUGGGCUUAGACAGUGGUAGUCGACCCCAACCCAAAUUCUUUGGAAUGUGAAAGCAAUGAAGCCAAGACAUAGCAAGAUAUAACCAACCUUUAUUAAAUCAUUAAGCACUGUUACUAGGGAUCGUAAAAUGUAAAGAAGAAAUGCUGUUGUAUAGUGGAAUCCGCUUAUGAAAUACAGAGGUUCCUCACUGACAAGGGAGGUGCACUCUGUACAUGCCUUAUUUCUGAGGCUCAACGUUUCUAAUUAAUUUUUUUAUUCAAUAUCUUGUAAACUUCUUUUUCCACCCCAGGACACUUUUUGAACCACUUUUGACCCCACAGGUCUUUAUUCACCCUGUGCACACUUCCAUUGACCUCAGGGAGUCAGUACCGACAACUUUUUGAAACCCUGUUUUGAAUCUUUGCACAGAUCCUGGAUCAGUUUGGACAUCUUUCACAUCAAUUUUAGGAAAAUAAUAAUUACAUAUAUUAAUAAUAAUGUAUAUUACAAGUACAGCAAAAGAUUAAUAUUGUGACAGUGGGCAAUUUCAAGAAUAUAAUAGAAUAUUGUUGCCUUUCUUAUAUAUUAUAUUACGCAGAUGUUAUAAAAGAAUAGAAUAGAAUAUUUUUAAUUAAAAUUAUUUGCAAAUAUAACAGAAAGAAAUAGGAGGAUGAAAAUAAAAACUUUGCCAGCUGACAUUAACAAUAAGAAUAUUCCAUCAAUCCUAAUUUAAACAUAUCUAUACAUAUAAUAAAAAUGUAAGCAUCACACUGCAGUUCACUAUGCCACAGACAGGUGGUGCUGUGAACUGCAGCAUGAAUGCUACGGUCCCCCUUGCCUGUCCACCACUCACUCCACCUGCCACACCUGCCUCUCCACCUGCCACACUGCCUCUCCUGCCACGAACCCACCCAUACACAAUGCUCAACAUCUAAGGCCCUCCUCCGGGUGCCUACUCCGAGGGAAACUGGGAGGAUGGCAACAAGGGAGAGGGCCUUCUCAGUGGUGGCCUCCAAAUUAUGGAAUGGUCUGCUUGAUGAGGUGUGCCUGGCACCAACACUGUUAUCUUUUUAGCACCAGGUCAAGACUUUCCUCUUCUCCCAGGCAUUUUAGCAUGUGCUUUUAAUUUUCUUUUAAGUGUUUUUAAAUUUGUAUAUUUGUAUAUUUGUUUUUAAUGUUUUUAAUUGUUGUAAACUGCCCAGAGAGCUUCAGCUAUGGGGCACUAUACAAAUGUAAUAAAUAAUAAUAAUAAAAUAAUAAUU